rnacentral:lncRNA from 7 species
ACUUUACAGGGACUGCCACAGCCUUGUGACUUGUUAGUGUGACCCAAUGACCUCAUGUACAGCCUUAUUAAACUUGAAAAGUCUCUGCAUUUGAGUUCCAAGGAGUUCUGGCAAAGCAUGUUGAAGUCUGAGAGUCAAACUCUGCAUGCUUUCUUAACAGCUACAGGAAUUAUACCAUCAUGGUUGGCUCUGCUUCACUUGGCAUUGAGAAGUCAACUGCAGCAGCUUUUCACCAUAGCCCUGCAUCUCAUGGAACCUUUGAACUGCUGCUAAAACAUCAUAAAGUGUAUAAGAGCCACCAGAUGCUAAACAUUUAUACUUAAGGCUGAUGCUUUUUACUUCCUUUAGCUAUUGAAUACAUCCUCUUCCCUCCUAGGACUGGAUCAUUAAGGCAACUAAUGACUCACCUAAACAGGGUUAUAAUCCUUCAGCACAUGCACUACAUUCCUGACUUUAUCAUCAGAAAACUUUCUCAAUUCUCAUUCAGUAUGUUUUCCUCUACUGUCGGAUCUUUGGCUUUUACUUGAGUAAUCUGUUUCCUUUGUUCAUACUAUUGCCUGAUUGUCAUUUAAGUCCAGUUAUCCUCUGCCUCUCGAAUGUUCACUUUUCUAAGCAAGUCUCAUCAAGUUACUCUAGCACUGGCAACAGUAGACACUUCUAUAGCUUUUUGUCUUUGAAGAGAAAUAAGGCUGAUGAAGAUCUGGGUUGAGCAAAACCAAAAUCUUUUUUAUAAAUGUCUAGAUUGCAAAUGACCAAAUGAGAGAUGAUAACAUCCUACCAGCCAAAAAUCAUGUAACUUUGCUUCAGUUUCACUAUUCCACCCUUGCUGACUCUUCUCUCUUGAAACCUGUACCAGUAACAUACAGACAUCACGUGUCCAUGAGGCUCCUCCAUUUCUUUUUCUUCUUCUUCUUCUUUUUUUUUUUUUUCCAUUUCUUUCUAUAGAAUAAGGACAAUUUUGUUGUUUACAGUUUAUCCUCAUGUUAUUUUAUUAUCAGGAUGUUUUCUUCUAAGUUGGUAUUUACUGUGGCUAAUAACUGAUUUAUUGGAUCUAUUCUGGGUUAGGCAUUUUAUCAGCAUGAUUAACUACCAAAUGAGAAAUUACACACUGGUAACAAACAGCUUGUUAAGGAUUUGUAAAGAUUGUUGUUGAGUAAAUAAACAUUAACAGCAUCAG